AACAUGGGUUCAGGUCCGAUUGUGGGCAAUACCGGCGACGCUGGAGGAGGUGUUUAAGGCGAUGGAUGGCGACGGAAAGGCUAGGUAGAGAUGGCGAUAAUGGCGGGUUGCGUUUGAUGGGUUUCUAAAGAUACUUGCCAUUUGAUUGUUCAUCGCGGAAACAAGUGGGUGUGAAUGGGAGUUUAACACGUUGAGAAGACACUAAAUCAGACAUGAAUCAAUUAUCGGAAUUCAAUCA